AGAUGCUAGCUGUUUUGUUUAACAAGCAUUUCAAAAGAGAUGCAAUCUGGCUAAUCCAUAAUCAUCUUUUCCUUAUCAUUACCACUCAAUCACCACAAAGGGCUUAGCCAAUACAUUUCCUCCUAAUUUCUGUGCAGUGUCUGCCCACGGUGUCGGCCAAGAAAGGAGGACAAAGAUAUCAGUGGGACUUCACUGGUUUCAACCACACGUAGCAACUGGCUCUCAAUGUUCCAUCUUAAGCAGUGUGAAGAGUCCUUGACAUAGUGUCAGUGGAGAGAGACAAGCACAGAUGGCUAUGGAGACAGAAGAAAGCCCAUAUGGUGCAUUUGCAACACAUGAAAGACUUCCCUGAGAAGCUUCCACAGCACUGGUGCCGGAGACUCUGCAGGCAGCUGUUAGGAGGACAGCUGAUCCAUCCGCACUUCUUCCUGAGAUUACCGGAGCCAGAUAUUUAAGGGAAUGAGACAGUGCAAAUGCUACUUACUGGAAGAAAUAAAGACGGUCCUAUAUCUGAUAUACCUCAUUGCCUUUAGUGCUUACAUGAGAGCUGGGAACCCUUUUACCUACAUCCGUGGAGACCUAAAUAUGAACUAUAUUUGGAGAUUUCUCCAAGAGAACUCUGGAAAGGGUUAAAAUGAGCCAGGGAGAUUUUGAAGCUAUCUCCAAGGUUGGUCCACGCAUGUCCAGAACUUGGAUUGCUGCAUGAUAAAGGUAAGAGUAACAGCAACAAUGUGAUGAUGACCAACUGUGUAUGACUAAGCUCUUCUUGUCAAUACAACAAUCCAAAGCAAUUCCGGAAGAUGAAGAAAAGUGCUCUCAGAGAACAUCAGAGAAAGAAUUGGUGGAGUUUGAAUGCAGAUUGAAGCAAAUUUUUUUCUGUUAUUUUGU